GUGGCGAACGGGUGAGUAACACGUGGGCAAUCUGCCCUGCACUCUGGGACAAGCCCUGGAAACGGGGUCUAAUACCGGAUACUGACCUUCACGGGCAUCUGUGAAGGUCGAAAGCUCCGGCGGUGCAGGAUGAGCCCGCGGCCUAUCAGCUUGUUGGUGAGGUAAUGGCUCACCAAGGCGACGACGGGUAGCCGGCCUGAGAGGGCGACCGGCCACACUGGGACUGAGACACGGCCCAGACUCCUACGGGAGGCAGCAGUGGGGAAUAUUGCACAAUGGGCGAAAGCCUGAUGCAGCGACGCCGCGUGAGGGAUGACGGCCUUCGGGUUGUAAACCUCUUUCAGCAGGGAAGAAGCGAAAGUGACGGUACCUGCAGAAGAAGCGCCGGCUAACUACGUGCCAGCAGCCGCGGUAAUACGUAGGGCGCAAGCGUUGUCCGGAAUUAUUGGGCGUAAAGAGCUCGUAGGCGGCUUGUCACGUCGGUUGUGAAAGCCCGGGGCUUAACCCCGGGUCUGCAGUCGAUACGGGCAGGCUAGAGUUCGGUAGGGGAGAUCGGAAUUCCUGGUGUAGCGGUGAAAUGCGCAGAUAUCAGGAGGAACACCGGUGGCGAAGGCGGAUCUCUGGGCCGAUACUGACGCUGAGGAGCGAAAGCGUGGGGAGCGAACAGGAUUAGAUACCCUGGUAGUCCACGCCGUAAACG
rnacentral:rRNA from 1 species